GCUGUUAAGUCCAGAGGAUCUUGGUUUUUCCAUAUAUUGCAUUUUUUUAUAUCCAUGUAAGAGAGAAAAAAAUAUAUAUUAAGAAUUUUGGCAUUUUAUUGACAUUUAGGCUUGUAUUCAAGACUAUAUAAGCAGCUAAUUGGAGUAGAAAAAUAAAGCAGGGGCAGUUUAAAAUACCUUUUUACACCCAAAAUGUUGCAAAGUGUGUACAAAUAAUGUGUAAUCCAUAAUCAGGUCACUAUACAGUUGUUAUUAAGUAUGUUUGCUUAGCUAAAUCUUCAUUCAGGAAGUCUAUUGGUAAUAAUAUGUUGAAAUAUGGGUGGAAAAUCACUUAUUUUGUUAUGGGUGGGGUGAUAAAAUUGCUCCCUGCUACAUCCUUUUGUUAAAAAAUUAGUAUUUUGAAGCACUUCUGUAAUGAGAACAGUGUAGUUUUGCUAUCUGAGUGAUUUUAUGGAAAUUGUUACAAAAUUGGCUUCAAAAUAAUGAAUUAUGUAUGAAAAUCACAUGCUAAUAUUCAUUUUCAGAAUAUCCGGAAUGCGGCAUAAUGGCGCUUGUUAGAAAAAAGGGAACUUCAAAGUUUUAAAUGACUUAGGAGUGGUGAAAAUGCAUCCAUAUAAUUGAUUUCAAAGAAAUGCUGUACAUUGGCUAUACACAUGCCAGGUUUGAAGACUGAAUUCAUGUAUAACUUGACAGGACCUGAUGUAAGCACAUUGGCCACUUUUGAUGGGUGUUGCAGAAUAUCCGGAAUGCGGCAUAACGGCGCUUGUUAGAAAAAAGGGAACUUCAAAGUUUUAAAUGACUUAAGAGUGGUGAAAAUGCAUCCAUAUAAAUGGGAAAGCGAACGACUACAAAACUGGACAAGUCAGGAAAGUUAAUAGAAAAAUCCGACAAUUUCAGUCACAGCCUGCACCUGGAAUGAUCGUGCCUAUAAUAAUAAAGUAAAUGUCGUCAUAGCAGCAAAGUUUCAAAAAUGGCUCACUAUAAAAAUGACGAUGUAAGAAAAGGAGACAAUAUAAUUGUUACAUUAAAAACAGGAAAGUGUUACAAAAUCUUUUUGUUUGUCUCUGUUUAAUAAUUUUUCACAGAACAUGCUACAUACAUGUACUGUAUGGGCUAUCUUACAUGUAAGAUCUGCUGACUUUGCGUUUUGAUUAUUAUUAUGAUCAUUAUUUUUGUGGAGGAGGAGCUAUGCUCAAGUCCGGAAAAGAAUAUUCUUUUUCUAUUUUACAUGUAUAUAUUAAUUGUACUGUUGCUAUAUUUCAUAUGUUGAUCUGUCGUGUAGUUUUUAUAUUAAUGAAUGUUGGAUAUCAUAGAUUAGUUAUCAUUAAAAUAUUAGUCUUUAAAUCUUACAAAGGUGUCAAAUGAUUGUGUGAUUUCUACUCGAACAGAAAACCUAUAGCCUUUACCACCGGCAUCAGUAUAGUGCCUGACCCGACUGCAAAUAUGUGUUGUCCAGUCUCAUAGACCAGUCUGCACAUAUGUGUUUGCCAGUCUUAUAGACCAGUCUGCACAUAUGUGUUGUCAAAUCUCCUAGACCAGUCUGCACAUAUGUGUUGUUAAAUCUCCUAGACCAGUC